rnacentral:rRNA from 1 species
UACGUAGGUGGCAAGCGUUAUCCGGAUUUAUUGGGCGUAAAGGGAACGCAGGCGGUCUUUUAAGUCUGACGUGAAAGCCUUCGGCUUAACCGGAGUAGUGCGUUGGAAACUGGGAGACUUGAGUGCAGAAGAGGAGAGUGGAACUCCAUGUGUAGCGGUGAAAUGCGUAGAUAUAUGGAAGAACACCAGUGGCGAAAGCGGCUCUCUGGUCUGUAACUGACGCUGAGGUUCGAAAGCGUGGGUAGCAAACAGG